CUGGCUUUCCUCGCACACUCACGAUGGAUUUAGCAUCUUUCAUUUUCUUCUGUAAUAAAUCUGCUAUUGUCCGGUUGGAAUAUUAUCUCAAUUUUACGAUUAUAACACCCUAAAGAUUGAUUGUGAACAUGGUUUGACAUGGUCCUACAAACGCUGAGGGAACUUUAUAACUUUUCGUCGACGGUGGAUAGAUACAUUUUGGAAUGGGGACCUGGACGCGCCGUCAAAACGGAUUUAUUUUGACAUAAAUGAUGGACUUUAUCGAACAAAUGAACAUUUCUUGUGGAAGUGGGAGACCUUCCAAGUGCAUUCAGCCGAAGAUCAGCAAAGGCUUUUCCUGCGGGGCUACAGAGGAACAGCAGUAGAGCAGAGCAGCCUGGGGUCACAUGGCACCAGUUUCAGCACCUGUGACGCCGACAACGACAACUGCCUGUGCAAGUGUGCCCUCAUGGGCGGCAGGACCUGAGCCCUAGGACCAUGCCUCAGGACUACCUGGCAUGAUGACUCCUUGCUGUCCCCAGUCCACCUGGCCGUGCUGCUGCUCCAGUUUCAACUGUUCUGCCUGCGGCUAUGGAACCCUGACCUGUUCACCGGACGUGCUUGUUGCACCCUCGACAACUACUAUGAUUAUUAUUAUUUGACCAUGCUGGUCAUUUAUGAACAUUUUAACAUCUUGAUCAUGUUCUGUUAUAAUAUCCACCCGGCACAGCCAGAAGAGGACUGGCCACCCCUCAUAGCCUGGUUCCUCUCUAGGUUUCUUCCUAGGUUUUUGCCUUUCUAGGGAGUUUUUCCUAGGGAGUUUUUCCUAGCCACCAUGCUUCUUUCACAUGUAUUGCUUGCUGUUUGGGGUUUUAGGCUGGGUUUCUGUACAGCACUUUGAGAUAUCAGCUGAUGUACGAAGGGCUAUAUAAAUAAAUUUGAUUUGAUUUGAUGAGUGGG
rnacentral:lncRNA from 1 species